rnacentral:rRNA from 1 species
GACGAACGCUGGCGGCGUGCUUAACACAUGCCAGUCGAACGGAAAGGCCCUGCUUUUGUGGGGUGCUCGAGUGGCGAACGGGUGAGUAACACGUGAGUAACCUGCCCUUGUCUUUGGGAUAACUUCAGGAAACUGGGGCUAAUACCGGAUAGGAUCUCCUGCUGCAUGGUGGGGGUUGGAAAGUUUCGGCUGUUGGGGAUGGACUCGCGGCUUAUCAGCUUGUUGGUGGGGUAGUGGCUUACCAAGGCUUUGAAGGGUAGCCGGCCUGAGAGGGUGACCGGGGACAUUGGGACUGAGAUAGGGCGCAGACUCCUACGGGAGGCAGCAGGGGGGAAUAUUGCACAAUGGGCGGAAGCCUGAUGUAGCAACGCCGCGUGCGGGAUGACGGCCUUCGGGUUGUAAACCGCUUUCGCCUGUGACGAAGCGUGAGUGACGGUAAUGGGUAAAGAAGCACCGGCUAACUACGUG